rfam:Ovis aries breed Texel chromosome 3, whole genome shotgun sequence.
UCCCUGGUGGUUCAAACGGUAAAGUGUCUGCCUGCAAUGCAGGAAACCCAGGUUCGAUGCCUGGGUCGGGAA